GAUGAACGCUAGCUACAGGCUUAACACAUGCAAGUCGAGGGACCGGCGCACGGGUGAGUAACACGUAUCCCAUCUGCCCUUUACUCGGGGAUAGCCUUUCGAAAGACAGAUUAAUACCCGAUGUCAAGGAUGGGUAUGCGUUCCAUUAGGUUGUUGGUGAGGUAACGGCUCACCAAGCCUUCGAUGGCUAGGGGUGCUGAGAGGAAGGUCCCCCACAUUGGAACUGAGACACGGUCCAAACUCCUACGGGAGGCAGCAGUGAGGAAUAGUGGUCAAUGGGCGUUAGCCUGAACCAGCCAAGUAGCGUGAAGGAUGAAGGCUUAUGGGUCGUAAACUUCUGUUAUAUAAGAAUAUGUAUUAUAUGAAUAAGGAUCGGCUAACUCCGUGCCAGCAGCCGCGGUAAUUC
rnacentral:rRNA from 1 species